GACAGAGGUGCCGAGCGUUAGGCGGAAUCACUGGGCGUAAAGGGUGCGUAGGCGGCUUGGUAGGUCUGGUGUGAAAGCCCCGGGCUCAGCCCGGGAAGGGCACUAGAAACUGCCAAGCUAGAGUGCCGGAGGGGAGAGUGGAAUUCCUGGUGUAGCGGUGAAAUGCGUAGAGAUCAGGAGGAAUACCGGUGGCGAAAGCGACUCUCUGGACGGCAACUGACGCUGAGGCACGAAAGCGUGGGGGAGCGAACAGG
rnacentral:rRNA from 1 species